GAAUGUGCCAGGGUCAAGUCUGCACUGAUUUUCAUGGUGAAUAGAUUACAUGCUUGCAUUCAUGUUCACUUCCGAAGCGCUUAGUGUCUUCCUUCCCUUACUUACAUAUUAACCUCAAAUACCCGGCUCGGCUUCAGCCAGGCUUUGCCGGGGGUUCCCGGGACGCAGGUUCUCCCUCUUCGCCACCUCCGAACAGC
rfam:Chlamydotis undulata macqueenii contig101000, whole genome shotgun sequence.